GACGUACGCUGGCGGCGUGCUUAACACAUGCAAGUCGAACGAGACAAUUAAAAGCUUGCUUUUACACGUCGAGUGGCAAACGGGUGAGUAACGCGUAGACAACCUGCCGCAAAGAUGGGGACAACAGUUCGAAAGGACUGCUAAUACCGAAUGUUCUGGAAGUUCCGCAUGGAAACUCCAGCAAAGAUGGCCUCUACUUGUAAGCGAUCGCUUUGCGAUGGGUCUGCGUCUGAUUAGCUAGUUGGUGAGGUAACGGCCUACCAAGGCGACGAUCAGUAGCCGGUCUGAGAGGAUGAACGGCCACAUUGGGACUGAGACACGGCCCCAGACUCCUACGGGGAGGCAGCAGUGGGGAAUCUUCCGCAAUGGGCGAAAGCCUGACGGAGCAACGCCGCGUGAGUGAAGAAGGUCUUCGGAUCGUAAAGCUCUGUUGCCGGGGACGAAUGUAGGCAAUGCAAACAGCAUUGUGUAAUGACGGUACCCGGCGAGGAAGCCACGGCUAACUACGUGCCAGCAGCCGCGGUAAUACGUAGGUGGCGGGCGUUGUCCGGAAUUAUUGGGCGUAAAGGGAGCGCAGGCGGGCGAGUAAGUCUUUCUUAAAAGUGCGGGGCUCAACCCCGUGAGGGGAGAGAAACUACUCAUCUUGAGUGCAGGAGAGGAAAGCGGAAUUCCUAGUGUAGCGGUGAAAUGCGUAGAUAUUAGGAAGAACACCAGUGGCGAAGGCGGCUUUCUGGACUGUAACUGACGCUGAGGCUCGAAAGCCAGGGGAGCGAACGGGAUUAGAUACCCCGGUAGUCCUGGCCGUAAACGAUGAAUGCUAGGUGUACGGGGUAUCGACCCCUCCUGUGCCAGAGUAAACGCAAUAAGCAUUCCGCCUGGGGAGUACGGUCGCAAGACUGAAACUCAAAGGAAUUGACUGGGGCCCGCACAAGCGGUGGAGUAUGUGGUUUAAUUCGACGCCAUCGCGAUAGAACCUUAUCAGGGCUUGACAUUGAGUGACAGACUUAGAGACAAGUCAUUCUCUUCGGAGACACGAAAACAGGUGGUGCAUGGCUGUCGUCAGCUCGUGUCGUCAGAUGUUGGGGUAAGUCCGCCACGAGCGCACUCCUAUUCUCUGUGCAGACCGCGAGGGUGGACUCCGAGAACUGCGCGGCACGCGAGAGGCUGGAUACGCAGUCAUC
rnacentral:rRNA from 1 species